GGCUAACACUGGCGGCGUGUCUUAGCCAUGCAAGUCGAGCGGACUUAUGGGGUAACUUAUAAGUCAGCGGCGGACGGCGGAGUAACACGUAGCUAACCUACCCUCUGGACGGGGAUAACCUACCGAAAGGUGGGCUAAUACCCGAUGUAGUCAUCCUGUAUAGGGGUGAUGAAAGGUGGGCUUCUGUUUACAAGCUCAUGCUGGAGGAGGGGGCUGCGGCCUAUCAGGUAGUUGGUAGGGUAAUAGCCUACCAAGCCGAUGACGGGUAGCCGGCCUGAGAGGGUGACCGGCCCGAGGGGCACUGAGAUACGGGUCCCACUCCUACGGGAGGCAGCAGGCUAGAAAUUUGGGCAAUGGGGGAAACCCUGACCCAGUGACGCCGCGUGCAGGAAGGAGCCCUUCGGGGUGUAAACUGCUGUCGUGUAGGGAGAAGGGUACUAAAGGUGAACAAUCUUAGUACUUGACGGUACUACAGGAGGAAGCCCAGGCUAACCUCGUG
rnacentral:rRNA from 1 species